ACUAAUCGUGUUUCCGGUACGGGUCAAUACAUCGCGCGUUAACUCACCUAGAAACGCAGGAAGAGGAUGAAUACCGAAAUGUUUUUGUCAUGGGUCUAUAACCACCCAGAACUUUAUGACAAAAAUCACAGAGAGUACAAAAAUAAUGACAAAAGAGAAGCUUUGUGGAAAGGACUGGCAGAGCAAAUGGGAAUCACUGCUGACGAUGUUAAAGCUAAGUGGAAAAACCUACGAGAUACCUACACGAGGAGAAAAAGAGAAGAUUCAGAGUGUCGUAAUGAGCAGGCUGCAAAAAAGAGGAAGCCAUGGAAAUAUAUGAAAACAUUGGAGUUUCUUGCAGAUUUCAUAGAAACAAAAAGUGUUCACAACAACAUUGAAGAACAUAAUGAUAGUGGAAAUGAAGAAGCCACCUCCAGUUCUGGGGCAUCAACGAGAAGUUUGGAGAACCUGACUCACGUGUCAGCACAAAAAAAGAGAAAGCAACCAGAGACUUUGGACUUAUUGGAGAGAUACCUUGAAAAUAAGCAACAAAGAGACAGAGAAAGACAGGAACAAAGAGACCUUCGUAUGGAGGACGACGUAGGUCUCUUUAUGCAAAGCUUGGUUCCAGUCAUUCGAAGACUGUCCCAUGAUACUCGUUCUACACUUAAAUUUCAAAUUCACACACUUGUACAUGAAGCUGAGUGUAGAGAACGGGACAUGCGGGCUUCUUCUCAGCAAUUAUCAAUGUCCUACCACAGUUCCCCUCCACAGACACCACCACAGUAUACUGUAAAAAAUGAAGACUGCUCUAUUUAAAAACAAUUUACUUCAAUUGAUUACACCUAAAAAAUAAGUUUUAUAAACUUACAUGUUCUCACUUGGAAGUGAACAAUUUAAGGUGAAAAAAUUACAAUAAUUACAAAUAUUUAAAAAAUGUUAACUUCAUUUUUUACCUUCACAUUUUUCGGCAUUACCAAUUGGAAGUUGAUCCAAGUUUUACUUUUUACAGUGUAUGAUUGUUCUGCCAGCUAAUGGCAUUCACUGUAUAGAUGUACAGUUAAUUGUGUACAUAGUUUUGUAUUGUAUGUAUGUGAAAGCAAUUGUGUUUUCAAAUAUUUAAGUUGUGUGAUGUGGACUUGUCAUGUGUUUUCUUAAAUGUUAUAAUCUUAAGUUUUAGAAAGUUAUAUUUACAGGUUGUGUGCAUUUUUAUUUACAGUUUAUCUGCAUGCCCUAAUGUUUGACGUUCACAAAUAAAUGGUAUUUGUCCUGUGAUUUUGCAUUACAUUUUCUAUUACUUAAUUCAAUAUAUAGCUGUAAGGUGCAGUUGAUAAUACAUAAACAACAACCUUUUUAGUGUAUGAUUAUAGUACACAUGAUUAAAUAACCUCACCAUAGAUACAGUUAUAACUGGUAGGGAUGAGCAGGACACAAACUAAUGCGGGUUUAAUUGUAACAUGGUUACUCUACAUAAUACUACAGGGCUGUGCUUUUGGAUCAAUGUUGGAUCCUGACGUCGGAUCAAUUUGUCCCAAGGCAUGUCCAUAUCCAUGUUCCCAGUCACAUGGCAACACAUCCUCUCUUAAAAUGACAAGCAUAGUGAAAUACUAAUAGACCCACGUGCCUUGUCUGUAAUUUGUUAUUAUAUCCUUUAACAUAAACAUGUGGUCAAUGAACAAUAAACCUUAAGUGACUAGAAGUUCUUAGAAAAAAAGAAAAGGUCAUUUUGUCUUACCUGGAUUUUUUCUCUACAUGAACUUGACUUUGAGGUAAUAAAUAAAUGUUCACUUUCCUAUUGCUUGUCUUACAGACUACUUUCUUGUGAUGUUUAGAUUUUGUUAAUAAUGUGGUUAGUAAUAAUACCCCACAUUUCCCUUACAGUACGUUUAAUCCUAU